CCUGCUCAAAAUCCUACUUCCACCUCCCCGCGGUGAGCAGGGGGCAACGGACAAUGUCCGGCAAACGGAAGA
rnacentral:ribozyme from 1 species